GAACGCAAAUUGCACUCUCUGGCAACCCGGGGAGUAUGCCUGUUUGAGGGUCAGUGUUAAUAAAAAUCGGGUGCGUUGCAAUUUUUGUGACGUUUCCGGAGUUUGAGUUUAUCUUAACUUCGGUUUUAAGAGGCUUAAAAUUGACCUUUUUUUUGUGCAUUUUAGACGUACAUAAAUUUUUUUUUAUUCGUCCAUCCUAAUGCCAAAAUCUAUUAGAUGCGACCAUAUCUUGUGGUUCCGUGUCUAUAAAUUUUUCAUGAUUUGACCUCAAAUCAGGUAGGAACACCCGCUGAACUUAAG
rnacentral:misc_RNA from 1 species